rnacentral:rRNA from 1 species
AACGAACGCUGGCGGCAUGCCUAACACAUGCAAGUCGAACGAGACCUUCGGGUCUAGUGGCGCACGGGUGCGUAACGCGUGGGAACCUGCCCUUAGGUUCGGAAUAACUCCCCGAAAGGGGUGCUAAUACCGGAUAAUGUCUUCGGACCAAAGAUUUAUCGCCUUUGGAUGGGCCCGCGUUGGAUUAGCUAGUUGGUAGGGUAAAAGCCUACCAAGGCGACGAUCCAUAGCUGGUCUGAGAGGAUGAUCAGCCACACUGGGACUGAGACACGGCCCAGACUCCUACGGGAGGCAGCAGUGGGGAAUAUUGGACAAUGGGCGAAAGCCUGAUCCAGCAAUGCCGCGUGAGUGAUGAAGGCCUUAGGGUUGUAAAGCUCUUUUACCCGGGAUGAUAAUGUCAGUACCGGGAGAAUAAGCGCCGGCUAACUCCGUG